CCUACGGGGGGCUGCAGUCGAGAAGCUUCGGCAAUGGGCGAAAGCCUGACCGAGCGACGCCGCGUGAGCGAUGAAGGCCCUAGUGGUCGUAAAGCUCUGUCAGAUUGGGAACAAAUCCCGGGGGCGAACAACCCCCGGUGCUGAGGGUACCGUCAGAGGAAGCACCGGCUAACUCCGUGCCAGCAGCCGCGGUAAUACGGAGGGUGCGAGCGUUGUUCGGAUUCACUGGGUAUAAAGAGUUCGUAGGCGGCCCCGUAAGUCAGAGGUGAAAGCUGUCGGCUCAACCGACAAAUUGCCUUUGAAACUGCAGGGCUUGAGUCCGGGAGAGGAAGGUGGAAUUCCUGGUGUAGCGGUGAAAUGCGUAAAUAUCAGGAGGAACACCGGUGGCGAAGGCGGCCUUCUGGCCCGGCACUGACGCUGAGGAACGAAAGCCAGGGGAGCGAACGGGCUUAGAUACCCGUGUAGUC
rnacentral:rRNA from 1 species